rnacentral:rRNA from 1 species
GUAACGGGGAAUUAGGGUUCGAUUCCGGAGAGGGAGCCUGAGAAACGGCUACCACAUCCAAGGAAGGCAGCAGGCGCGCAAAUUACCCAAUCCCGACACGGGGAGGUAGUGACAAUAAAUAACAAUACAGGGCUCUUACGGGUCUUGUAAUUGGAAUGAGUACAAUUUAAAUCCCUUAACGAGGAACAAUUGGAGGGCAAGUCUGGUGCCAGCAGCCGCGGUAAUUCCAGCUCCAAUAGCGUAUAUUAAAGUUGUUGCAGUUAAAAAGCUCGUAGUUGAAUUUCGGGGUUCUACCGUCGGUCGGGCUAACAAGUCUGUACUGGUGUGUAGAAUUUCUACCUUCUGGGGAACUAUCAUGUUAUUAAUUUAGCGUGGUGGGAAACCAGGACCUUUACCUUGAAAAAAUUAGAGUGUUCAAAGCAGGCUUACGUCUGAAUACAUUAGCAUGGAAUAAUAGAAUAGGACGGUGGUCCUGUUUUGUUGGUUUCUGAAUCACCGUAAUGAUUAAUAGGGAUAGUUGGGGGCAUUAGUAUUCAAUUGUCAGAGGUGAAAUUCUUGGAUUUAUUGAAGACUAACUUCUGCGAAAGCAUUUGCCAAGGAUGUUUUCAUUAAUCAAGAACGAAAGUUAGGGGAUCGAAGACGAUCAGAUACC